GAUUAGAGUUUGAUCAUGGCUCAGGAUGAACGCUAGCUACUGGCUUAACACAUGCAAGUCGAGGGGCAGCACAGUGUAGCAAUACACGGGUGGCGACCGGCGCACGGGUGCGUAACGCGUAUCCAACCUUCCCGUUACUCAGGGAUAGCCUUCCGAAAGGGAGAUUAAUACCUGAUGGUGUUCAAAUUUCGCAUGUUAUUUGAACUAAAGAUUUAUCGGUAACGGAUGGGGAUGCGUGACAUUAGAUAGUAGGCGGGGUAACGGCCCACCUAGUCUACGAUGUCUAGGGGUUCUGAGAGGAAGGUCCCCCACACUGGAACUGAGACACGGUCCAGACUCCUACGGGAGGCAGCAGUGAGGAAUAUUGGUCAAUGGUCGGAAGACUGAACCAGCCAAGUAGCGUGAAGGAUGAAGGUUCUAUGGAUUGUAAACUUCUUUUAUACGGGAAUAAAACCUCCCACGUGUGGGAGCUUAUAUGUACCGUAUGAAUAAGCAUCGGCUAACUCCGUGCCAGCAGCCGCGGUAAUACGGAGGAUGCGAGCGUUAUCCGGAUUUAUUGGGUUUAAAGGGAGCGUAGACGGGAGAUUAAGUCAGUUGUGAAAGGCUGCGGCUCAACCGCAGCACUGCAGUUGAUACUGGUUUCCUUGAGUUCGGUUGAGGUAUGUGGAAUUCGUGGUGUAGCGGUGAAAUGCUUAGAUAUCACGAAGAACUCCGAUUGCGAAGGCAGCAUACUAAGCCGAUACUGACGUUGAGGCUCGAAAGUGUGGGUAUCAAACAGGAUUAGAUACCCUGGUAGUCCACACGGUAAACGAUGAAUACUCGCUGUUGGCGAUAUAGCAGUCAGCGGCCACAGCUAACGCAAUAAGUGUUCCACCUGGGGAGUACGGCCGCAAGGUUGAAACUCAAAGGAAUUGACGGGAGCCCGCACAAGCAGUGGAGUAUGUGGUUUAAUUCGACGCAACGCGAAAAACCUUACCAAGGAUUGACAUCCAGAGAAGACCGGGUAAUGCUGGUUGUGCCCUUCGGGGAACUCUGAGACAGGUGGUGCAUGGUUGUCGUCAGCUCGUGUCGUGAGAUGUUGGGUUAAGUCCCGCAACGAGCGCAACCCUUACUGUUAGUUGCUACGCAAGAGCACUCUGGCAGGACUGCCGUUGACAAAACGGAGGAAGGUGGGGACGACGUCAAAUCAUCAUGCCCCUUAUAUCUUGGGCUACACACGUACUACAAUGGCGUGGAACAAAGGGCAGCGACCCCGCGAGGGUGAGCGAAUCCCAGAAAACACGUCCCAGUUCGGACUGGAGGCUGCAACUCGCCUCCACGAAGUUGGAAUUGCUAGUAAUCGCGAAUCAGCAUGUCGCGGUGAAUACGUUCCCGGGCUUUGUACACACCGCCCGUCAAACCAUGAAAGUUGAAAACACCCGAAGCCUGUGGGCUAACCGCAAGGAGGCAGCAGUCGAAGGUGGGUUCGGUUAUUGGGGUUAAGUCGUAACAAGGUAACACAAUCGUCGACGCUGCAGACAUGCGCAGCUUGCGGCUUUCCGACGUAAACCCCC
rnacentral:rRNA from 1 species